UUGUCUAUGUGAAAGCCUUCGGCUCAACCGCAAGAAGUGCAUUGGAAACUGGGAGACUUGAGUGCAGAAGAGGACAGUGGAACUCCAUGUGUAGCGGUGAAAUGCGUAGAUAUAUGGAAGAACACCAGUGGCGAAGGCGGCUGUCUGGUCUGCAACUGACGCUGAGGCUCGAAAGCAUGGGUAGCGAACAGGAUUAGAUACCCUGGUAGUCCAUGCCGUAAACGAUGAUUACUAAGUGUUGGAGGGUUUCCGCCCUUCAGUGCUGCAGCUAACGCAUUAAGUAAUCCGCCUGGGGAGUACGACCGCAAGGUUGAAACUCAAAAGAAUUGACGGGGGCCCGCACAAGCGGUGGAGCAUGUGGUUUAAUUCGAAGCUACGCGAAGAACCUUACCAGGUCUUGACAUCUUCUGACAGUCUAAGAGAUUAGAGGUUCCCUUCGGGGACAGAAUGACAGGUGGUGCAUGGUUGUCGUCAGCUCGUGUCGUGAGAUGUUGGGUUAAGUCCCGCAACGAGCGCAACCCUUAUUACUAGUUGCCAGCAUUAAGUUGGGCACUCUAGUGAGACUGCCGGUGACAAACCGGAGGAAGGUGGGGACGACGUCAAAUCAUCAUGCCCCUUAUGACCUGG
rnacentral:rRNA from 1 species